rnacentral:rRNA from 1 species
GACGUAGGGUGCGAGCGUUGUCCGGAUUUAUUGGGCGUAAAGAGCUCGUAGGCGGCUCGUCGCGUCGACCGUGAAAUCCCUCGGCUUAACCAAGGAAGUGCACCCGAAACUGGAUAGCUUGAGUACAGAAGAGGAUCGCGGAAUUCCCGGUGUAGAGGUGAAAUUCGUAGAUAUCGGGAGGAACACCAGUGGCGAAGGCGGCGAUCUGGGCUGAUACUGACGCUGAGGUGCGAAAGCAUGGGUAGCGAACAGG